AGAGUUUGAUCCUGGCUCAGGACGAACGCUGGCGGUGUGCUUAACACAUGCAAGUCAAGGAGAACUUUAUCUUCGGAUAAAUAUUAAACUGGCGAACGGGUGAGUAACGCGUAAAUAACUUGCCUUGGAGAUUGGGAUAACAUUGGGAAACCAGUGCUAAUACCAAAUAAUGCAGCGGGCCCUUCGGGGCAUUUGUUGUUAAAGUAGGCUUCGGCUUACACUUUGAGAUAGAUUUGCGUCCGAUUAGUUUGUUGGUAGGGUAAUUGCCUACCAAGGCGAAGAUCGGUAGCUGGUCUGAGAGGAUGAUCAGCCACACUGGAAUUGAGAUACGGUCCAGACUCCUACGGGAGGCAGCAGUGAGGAAUUUUGCACAAUGGGCGAAAGCCUGAUGCAGCAACACCGCGUGAUUGAUGAAGUUUUUAGGAAUGUAAAAAUCUGUCGUAAGGGAAGAAAUGUUUCAGAUGUUAAUACCAUCUGUCAUUGACGGUACCUUACAAGAAAGGACCGGCUAACUUCGUGCCAGCAGCCGCGGUAAUACGAGGGGUCCUAGCGUUGUCCGGAUUUACUGGGCGUAAAGGGUACGUAGGCGUUUUAAAAAGUUAUGUGUUAAAUACUUUAGCUUAACUAAAGAAGUGCACAUAAAACUAUUAAAAUAGAGUUUGAGAGAGGAACGCAGAAUUCAUGGUGGAGCGGUGACAUGCGUAGAUAUCAUGAGGAAAGCCAAAUGCGAAGGCAGCCUUCUGGCUCAAAACUGACGCUGAGGUACGAAAGCGUGGGGAGCGAACAGGAUUAGAUACCCUGGUAGUCCACGCCGUAAACGAUGAGUACUUGGUGCUGGAGGAUUUCGACCCUUUCAGUGCCGUAGCUAACGCGAUAAGUACUCCGCCUGGGGACUACGAUCGCAAGAUUGAAACUCAAAGGAAU
rnacentral:rRNA from 1 species